CACCAACAGUUAUAUAAAUGGAAAUGAGAGUAAUUAUGAUGUCAUAUUUUGCUAACAUAAUUAGGAACAGUCAAAACUCUGGGCCAGAAAGUUAAAUGCCAAUGAAGAGAAAAACCACUACACCUCUUGGAAAUUAGUUCACUCCUGUUGCAGACAAUCAAAUGGAAAAGGUAGCAAACUACAGUGAGUCCCCUACAUAUGAACCUUUACGUUUUGAACUUUCCAAGAUGCUAAGGCGAGUUCUCACGCCCAGUCACGUAAAUUAAUUCAUACGCCUUGCACUCAUUGUUUCAUGCAGGCAUCCUCUACAAGUGGCCGUGCGUUUGUGUUUUUUACUGUGCAGUAUGGUGCAGAGUAUGACAGUACAGUAUUUUUAUUUCAAGCCCAGGAUGUCCAGAAGCAAAUGUAAAAGCAGCGGUGAUAUAGCUGGAACUACUGUAUUGUUCAAGAUGUUGUUAUUCUAUGUACAACUGAUCUGUGAAAGGUGCAGCAGAAAGUUUUUCUGGGUCCCCACAUGGAGUGUCACGUGUGGAACAUGUGCGUCAUCAUGCCAACACUCUUCUGCAGCAAAGCGCAGAGUGGAGGUGAGCCACAUACUGAGACCCACUGGGGUGCCUCUUUCUCUCUCAGGAGUCUUUGGUGUUUCCUCUAUACCUGUGAUGC
rnacentral:lncRNA from 1 species